rnacentral:rRNA from 1 species
UACAGAGGGUGCGAGCGUUAAUCGGAAUUACUGGGCGUAAAGCGCGCGUAGGCGGCUUUGCAAGUCGGGUGUGAAAUCCCCAGGCUUAACCUGGGAACUGCAUUCGAGACUGCAUUGCUAGAGUAUGGGAGAGGGAAGUGGAAUUUCCGGUGUAGCGGUGAAAUGCGUAGAUAUAUGGAGGAACACCAGUGGCGAAGGCGACUCUCCGGUCUGCAACUGACGCUGAGGCGCGAAAGCGUGGGUAGCGAACAGG